UCCGCUAUGGUGUAACGGUCAGCAUACUGCCUUUUCAGUGACAAUUUAUAUUGUCAGAAGUACGGCGGAGACCGGGGUUCGAUUCCCCGUAGCGGAG